rnacentral:rRNA from 1 species
UACGAAGGGGCUAGCGUUGCUCGGAAUCACUGGGCGUAAAGCGCGCGUAGGCGGCUAUUCAAGUCAGAGGUGAAAGCCCGGGGCUCAACCCCGGAACUGCCUUUGAAACUAGGUAGCUAGAAUCUUGGAGAGGUCAGUGGAAUUCCGAGUGUAGAGGUGAAAUUCGUAGAUAUUCGGAAGAACACCAGUGGCGAAGGCGACUGACUGGACAAGUAUUGACGCUGAGGUGCGAAAGCGUGGGGAG